GGUGAACGGGUGCCGUAACACAUGAGGAACCUACCCCGGACUCUGGAAUAACAAGUGGAAACACUUGCUAAUACUGGAUACCGUUGGAUCAACGCAUGAACUGAUCCAACGAGAGAGAUUUAUCGGUCUGGGAUGGGUCUCGUGGCCUAUCAGCUUGUUGGCGAGGUAACGGCUCACCAAGGCUUCGACGGGUAGCUGGUCUGAGAGGAUGAUCAGCCACACUGGGACUGAGACAGGUACCAAUCUCAUACGGGAGGCAGCAGUGGGGAAUCUUGCCAAUGGGCGAAAGCCUGAUGCAGCAACGCCGCGUGCGGGAAGAAGGCCUUAGGGUUGUAAACCGCUUUCAGCAGGGAAGAAAAUGACGGUACCUGUAGAAGAAGGUGCGGCCAACUACGUGCCAGCCGCCGCGG
rnacentral:rRNA from 1 species